rnacentral:rRNA from 1 species
CAGCAGCCACGGUAAUACGGAGGGUGCAAGCGUUAAUCGGAUUUACUGGGCGUAAAGCGUGCGUAGGCGGCUUCUUAAGUCGGAUGUGAAAUCCCUGAGCUUAACUUAGGAAUUGCAUUCGAUACUGGGAAGCUAGAGUAUGGGAGAGGAUGGUAGAAUUCCUGGUGUAGCGGUGAAAUGCGUAGAGAUCUGGAGGAAUACCGAUGGCGAAGGCAGCCAUCUGGCCUAAUACUGACGCUGAGGUACGAAAGCAUGGGGAGCAAACAGGAUUAGAUACCCCCGUAGUCCCUGUCUCUUAUAC